GAGAAGGCAGGGAGUGGGACUGAGGAGGAGAUCUAAACCCAGGUCCCAUCUGGACAGGACACAAGUCAGAGGUAAAGCUGGAACAAAUGAUAGAAUUAAAGAAUGCAAGAGAGAGAGAGAGAGAGAGAUGUGGAGAGGGCACAGGUGGGGAAAAGCAGACCAUACAGUGAGGAAGGGGAAUGCAAAUAAAGAAAAGAAGAUGGUUUCUGGGUGUGAUUAGAAGAGAGAUUAAAGAGAUAAGAGUGAAAGGAAAGGAGGGAAGGCAUAAAGGGAAUAAGUAAGGAGACAAAAUAAGUAAUAAGCGUUCAAGUGCUGAUCUAAAUGCUUAGGAAGUCACCAGGCUGUUAGGAGAGCCGGAAGAGCCACAGCCAUACCCAAGAGGGGACCAUCAGAAAGAUAGAAGCAGGUAAUUUAAGUAGCUAGCUACUGGGGCAAAAAAAAAAAAAAAAAUGAAAAGAAAAAAAAAUAGAAGAUAGAAGAGGUGAGAAGCAGGAGAGGGAAAACCCAAAGGAGACACUGGCCCAGAAACCUUUUUAACUUUCUGUAAGAAUCUUCAAGGCCCCAAACUAGGCCAAGAUUCUGACUGACAUUUCUGAGCUCACCAGCUGCUGUUUCCUUGAGAGGAUUCUGACAGGAAGGCACAGAAAUGCAAGCCAACCCUGCCAGCUCUGGAAAUAAAUAAAUAACAAUCCAUGUUCUAAACACCUCCAUGGGGGCAGAAGCCUGCCGGGAAGGAAGCCCACAGAGGAGGAGGGACCCGCCCGGUGCAACUUUUCCCCAGGCAUGGACGAGUGAGGCUUGAACACCCCAGGCUAUCUGCACAUGAGAAGCUGCAGUCACCUCCCAAGGGAGCUGCCCCCUGCUCUGGCUGGUCAAACGGAACCAAGUCCGUCUUCCUGAGAGGUUUGGUCCCCUUCAACCAGCUACAGCAGGGCUGGCAAUGUCGGUCCCUGGAAAAACAGAAGAGAGUCACCUGGGGCUGAAAUUACCUACUAAAACUUUCUUUGUGAAAUYGACUCUGGCUUUGUCAUCACACUCCCAUGUCCCCCGGAAAGAAGAAAGGAGAAUCCCUAGCAUCAAAUGUGAGCAAAGGUUUCAUACUCAACACACAGCUCUAUACCUGUGCAUCCACAGCCAGAUCCACUCACGUGCCCUUGACACAAAGUUCUUCAUGGCCUUAGUCAUGGAGUUGGUGCCAGCCAGGGGAAAAGCACAAGAUAGGGAAGACAGGGCUCCUGUCCGCAGGGGCUAGCAGCCUGAGUAAGGAAAUCAGGCAUACUUCUUAACAAGUCACCAAAUAUGCCCGGGACACUGUCUAUCAUAGAGCCUUUAUUGACUCACGCAGCCCAGGAUAUCUAUUACUGAGGAAUAGGCACCUGUUUUGGUUUACUUAUCUGUUGAAUGGGGAUAAUAAUACCUACCACAUAUGGCUUCAUGUGAAAUGAAUAUAUGGAAAGGAGUUAGAAAGCUCUCAUAAUUGUUCCCUGUUAUUAAGGAGGAAUGCUGUUUAAUUUCAAAUUUCUUUUUCAAGAUUUAUGUCUUUAAUGGUGUACUCAGGAGUGUGCCUGGAACUUUGUUAAUAUAGGAUAAAAUUUUUUUUAUAAACACGUGUUCCCACACUAUACUUGAACAAAGUGUGUCAUAAGAGUGCCCAGAGCCCACACAGUGGCCACCCAGGGAACCAGGUGCUGCCUACUCAGGCUUUGAAGUCAGGGAAACCUGAGUCUGAAUUUGCCCUUCACAGAUGAGCCGUGGUAUAUCCCCUUUUAUGGCCUCACUUUACCUGGCAUAAACUUUAGUUUCCUCCUCUAUAAACUGGGGUCAAUGAUACCUACCUCAAACUGGCUGAGAUUUUAAGAACACAGUCUUUGUAAAGAGCCAAAUAUAAGCCCUCAAGAAAUAGUAGCUGCUAAUAUUUGGCUGUUGUGUCAAUGGCACAAGGACAGACAAUGCUGUGUCUGGCACUCGMGCCUGUGAGGGAAGGACCAAAAUAAAUAGAUAAAUAUUCCAACUGUUAAUUUUACUUGCAAGUAGCAUGUUGUCAUCAUAUUAUGUAUUAAUAGUAUGUAGUAA